rnacentral:rRNA from 1 species
GAUGAACGCUGGCGGCGUGCCUAAUACAUGCAAGUCGAGCGAACGGAUAAGGAGCUUGCUCCUUUGAAGUUAGCGGCGGACGGGCGAGUAACACGUGGGUAACCUACCUAUAAGACUGGAAUAACCUCGGGAAACCGGAGCUAAUGCCGGAUAACAUUUGGAACUGCAUGGUUCUAAAGUAAAAGAUGGUUUUGCUAUCACUUAUAGAUGGACCCGCGCCGUAUUAGCUAGUUGGUAAGGUAACGGCUUACCAAGGCAACGAUACGUAGCCGACCUGAGAGGGUGAUCGGCCACACUGGAACUGAGACACGGUCCAGACUCCUACGGGAGGCAGCAGUAGGGAAUCUUCCGCAAUGGACGAAAGUCUGACGGAGCAACGCCGCGUGAGUGAUGAAGGUUUUCGGAUCGUAAAACUCUGUUAUUAGGGAAGAACAAAUGUGUAAGUAACUGUGCACAUCUUGACGGUACUUAAUCAGAAAGCCACAGCUAACUACGUGCCAGCCGCCGCCGUAA